AGCAGCCGCGGUAAAUUCCAGCUCCAAUAGCGUAUAUUAAAGUUGUUGCAGUUAAAAAGCUCGUAGUUGAACUUCAGGCCUGGCUGGACGGUCCGCCUUCUGGGUGAGCACUGUCUGUGGUCGGGCUUUACCUUCUGGCGAAGCGGCAUGGCCUUUACGGGUCGUGACGGGGAACCAGGACUUUUACUGUGAAAAAAUUAGAGUGUUCAAAGCAGGCAUACGCUUGAAUACAUUAGCAUGGAAUAAUGGAAUAGGACAAUGGUUCUAUUUGUUGGUUUCUAGGACUGUUGUAAUGAUUAAUAGGGAUAGUUGGGGGCAUUAGUAUUCAAUUGUCAGAGGUGAAAUUCUUGGAUUUAUUGAAGACUAACUACUGCGAAAGCAUUUGCCAAGGAUGUUUU
rnacentral:rRNA from 1 species